AGGUAUGUGGUUAUAAGUUAUUUUUAUGGAAUUAAUUUACCUAUAAUGAAAAUGCUUUUGAGUGUUAAAUGAUGAUAAUUCUAAGGGGAGAUGUUGCAGAUAUUUUAGUAGGAAUUUGAAGAAAUAUAUGGGGAGACUUCACCUGGUUGAAAAGUUAAAUUGAAGUAUUUAUAAGGGGAGACUCUGCUAAAUUAAAGAGAGCUUAAUUUGAUUGCAUUGAACCUGAGGAAAGUGGAUAUUGUUAUUUCAUGGCCUAUGUAGUUUUCAAGUGUCUUCAUCAGUAUUUUAUACGUAUUUUCAUAUAUAAAGUGCAAGUGUUUUUGUGAAAGUGGUAUUGUAUUUUAAGUGCUAUUUUGCCCAUGCGUUAUGAAAAAUUGAUUCUGAUAAAUGUGCAUCACUCGUUAUCGAGGCAAUUCAUUCUGAAAAGUACUUGUAUGAUACUAGGCUUCAGUGUACCCCUAUAUAACCAUUUUGUUUCGGGCAUAGUGGAAAAGUGAUAAGUGUGAAUGCAUACAUAAUCGUUCCGUUUUCGAGUGUAUAGGGAAGUGUUAAGUGUUAAAUGUGCGCCUAUGCAUGCAUGGCAGUAGAAAGAUGUGAACAGCCCUCCAUAAUGAUGAUAAAGUGGAGCUCAUUGUACAAUGUAGCAAAGUGCAUUUGUUCUUUAAUUCUAGGAGAUGUGGCUCAUUGUACAAUGUGGUGCAUUGUACUUGCUGAGUAAUCUGGUACAAAUGAGAGUGUAGCUCAUUGUAUAAUGU
rnacentral:lncRNA from 1 species